UAAUUUAUUCUUCUUCUUUUCUAAUUCAUGGCAUGAGUGGUAAUGAGAGUGUUUCUAGUUCUACCAAAAACAAUUAACACAAACUUGUGAGAUUAUUGAGAAAUACUCCCUUUCUUGACACUUCACAUUUAAAGCAGCUAUAACUGUAAUUUUUGGCAACCUCGUCUUCUCAUCGUUUGAACCCAAGAUUUUUAUAGAAAUGGUUGUUAGUUCCGUUCUAAAUGCCCUCGUGCAGCGUGAAUCCCUGGUACGCAGAGGGUUGUAGGAUAAGUGUUUGGGAUGGGGUCGACUUCUCAGAAGUAUAUAAAGUAGGAGCUGAAGGCUAUUGUGCACGGUGAGUGCUUUCACUAUGGACUGCACUGUUUGGUUUGGACUCCAUGUUGGACCUGGGCGCUUCCACACGCAACCCUAUAUUCGGUCUGGAUACGACCGCGACCGACUCCAUGUUGGACUUGGACGCGACCGCGUCCCACUCUAUGUUGGCCCUUGACGUGUCCACACCCAACCGCACGCUGUAAAUAUUAUUAUUUUUAUUAUAAAGUGCGGUUGGGCGUGAACCCCAAUAAUUUAUGUUAUAAAUAUUCUUGGGUUUUCUUAAUAUAAUUGUCGCAUAUAGGCGACGUUGCGAUGAA